GUGUAGCGAAGCAUAUUGUGGAGCGGUGAAAGGCUCAGUAACGGGCGAUUUAUUUGUUCUCCUGUGACGGACAACACCGGGAAACUGGUGGGAAAACGUCUAUGCUGCAGGUGUAAAAAGCUGUGGAGCAAAGAGUAAUCUGCGGGAGAGUAAGAUGCCAUCCUAUCAGUUAGUAAGUAGGGUAAGGGCCUACUUAGACGAAGACGGGUACGGGGAAUGAGGGUUUGAUUCCGGAGAGGGAGCCUGAGAGACGGCUACCAGGACCAAGGUCAGCAGCAGGCGCGAAAAUUAUCGAAGCCCGCAGAGGGGCGAUAGUGAGGAGACGUAAAUAUGAUGUGCGGGUAAAGAACGCACUAUAAACUGGAGGUCAAGUCUGGUGCCAGCAUCCGCGGUAAUUCCAGCUCCAGGGGUGUCUAUGAUGAUUGCUGCGAUUAAAAAGUCCGUAGUCUAGCUGCACGACCAGUCUGGAAUGUUUCUGAUCAAGAGAAGAGCAGGGCUGGGAAGGCAGAGAAUUAGGAGCGACCAGGGGCUAGAGUAUUGGGUGGCGAGAGGUGAAAUUUGAUGACCCAUCCAGGAGUGACAAAGGCGAAGGCACUAGUCAGGGGCGAAUCCGAUGAUCAAGGACGUAGGCUAGAGUAUCGAAAACGAUUAGAGACCGGAGUAGUUCUAGCAGUAAACUAUGCCGACUUUGUGGCAGAUGUAUCUGUUGCAAGCGAGAAAUCUAAGUAAGGCUUUGGGGAGAGUACGCGCGCAAGCGAUAAAUUUAAAGGAAAUUGACGGAGGAACACCACAAGGAGUGGAGUG
rnacentral:rRNA from 1 species